UGCUGAUCAAACAUUUUUUUUUCAUAUUCAAAUUUUUAAUUUUCAUAAAAUAAAAUGAAACUUAUCAUCAUUACAAUUGUUUUAAUUGCGACGCCAUUAUUGGCCCAAGAAUUAGCAACUACUGGCACAUCUUCGGACAACGAAGAUAAUAUGAAUUGUGGCUCGAAUGAAGAAUUUCUAACAUGUGGUUCUCCAUGCGUAGAUACUUGUUUCAAUAAAGAUUCAACAAGACCUUGUAUUCUGAUUUGUAAGUCCGGAUGUUAUUGCCAAAAGGAUUUGUACGUACCGGUAAAGGUGAGGCUGAAGGUGAUCUUGGACCAUGUGUUCCGAUUAGUGAAUGUGACAAAAUUAUCAACAAUUGAUACGUAACAUCAUCAUCAUCAUCAUCAUCAUUACCAUUUAUUCUGAAUGAACAAUGUGUUAAUUUAAAAAAAAAUUAAGUUGAAUUUUAUCGAUUAAAAACGUUGAGAAUUUGGAAAAUUAAA